rnacentral:rRNA from 1 species
UACGGGGGGGGCAAGCGUUGUUCGGAAUUACUGGGCGUAAAGGGUGCGUAGGCGGCUUUCUAAGUUGGAUGUGAAAACUCUGGGCUCAACCCAGAGCCUGCAUCCAAAACUGGAGAGCUAGGGUUCUGGAGGGGAAAGCGGAAUUCCUGGUGUAGCGGUGAAAUGCGUAGAUAUCUGGAGGAACACCGGUGGCGAAGGCGGCAUCCUGGACCGGUAUUGACGCUGAGGCGCGAAAGCCAGGGGAGCAAACGGG